rnacentral:rRNA from 1 species
GAUCAUGGCUCAGGAUGAACGCUGGCGGCGUGCUUAACACAUGCAAGUCGAACGGGAUAUACUUUUAGCUUGCUAAGUUGUAUAUCUAGUGGCGGACGGGUGAGUAACGCGUGGGUAACCUGCCGUAUGCCGGGGGACAACAGUUGGAAACGACUGCUAAUACCGCAUAAGCGCACAGUACCGCAUGGUACAGUGUGAAAAACUCCGGUGGCAUACGAUGGACCCGCGUCUGAUUAGCUAGUUGGUGAGGUAACGGCCCACCAAGGCGACGAUCAGUAGCCGGCCUGAGAGGGUGAACGGCCACAUUGGGACUGAGACACGGCCCAGACUCCUACGGGAGGCAGCAGUGGGGAAUAUUGCACAGUGGGGGAAACCCUGAUGCCAGCGACGCCGCGUGAGUGAAGAAGUAUUUCGGUAUGUAAAGCUCUAUCAGCAGGAAAGAAAAUGACGGUACCUGACUAAGAAGCCCCGGCUAACUACGUGCCAGCCGCCGC